UACCAGCACCCCGAGUGGUCGGGACGUUUAUUGGGCCUAAAGAAUCCGUAGCCGGUUCUACAAGUCUUCCGUUAAAUCCACCUGCUUAACAGAUGGGCUGCGGAAGAUACUAUGGAGCUAGGAGGCGGGAGAGGCAAGCGGUACUCGAUGGGUAGGGGUAAAAUCCGUUGAUCCAUUGAAGACCACCAGUGGCGAAGGCGGCUUGCCAGAACGCGCUCGACGGUGAGGGAUGAAAGCUGGGGGAGCAAACCGG
rnacentral:rRNA from 1 species